rnacentral:lncRNA from 1 species
CUUAACAGCCUCUAACUAACUGCCUCAACACUCUCCCUCAAAUUGAGGGACGAACAUGUUCUUCAUUCCUAGCUUGCUCCCUGGAUAAUCAUGUUGUGGUCUACACAAGAUUUUUGUAAGUAAGUCAGCCAAUUAAUCUUUAGUCCCAAUAUGUUGAGUUUAUAUUUGCCCUUCUUGAAUCUUCUCUCUUACAAAAUGACAGUUAAUGUCAAUUUAUUUUGUCCUUUUAUGAAUUAUUGGAUGAGCUACAAUCUGAAUUGCAGCUUUACUAUGACAACAUAGCUACACAGACAAGUUUACUUCCACUCCAAGUUAUUUAAACAACCCAAUAAACCAAGUGAUCUUCGCUAUAGCGGAUGCCAUGCUCCUAAACUCUGCUUCAGCAAAGUUCCUCGAGACAACGCUUUAUUUCUUUAUUUCCAGCAUACAAGGCCUUUCAAAACUUCACCAUAUAGUCAGUUACUGAUUUCCUAGUUUCUACAUAUGUCCCCAAUUUGAGCUACACUAUGGUAUGAAUUAUGUGCUUUCACAUGCUGGCAUAAAUAAUCUAACACAUGUUGUGACUUUGAUGUAUCUGAUUGCCCUCAUAGAUGCAUCCAUGUGAAAUUAGGGCAUUUAUGUACUGACUAAGUACCUGGACUACAAAGGCAAUAUCAGUCCUAGUCAUUGUCAAGUAUACAGUCUGUCAAUCAGCCUUUGGUAGCUGCUUCUAUCCUCUAGUUCUUUAUCCGUUCACUAGUAUGUAGAAACUUAUCUAAUUCCACUGCUUGUGAUUGAACUCAAGAGGAGUAGUAGCAGUUCUACUGUCGGCCAAGCUCAUUUCAUACACUAGCUCAAGUGCAUACUUCCUUUGAUUCAUUAGAAUCCCUUCCUUGGAUCUGGAGAACUCAAUACCAAGGAAGUACUUAAGUACUCCUAGAUCUUUCAUCUUAAACCUUGCUUGUAGAUCUUUCCUCACUUUCUGAAUAAGUUCUAAGCUAACGCAUGUCACCAAUAGGUCAUCCACAUAUACUAACACAACUAGAAGAUCGCAGCCUAUCUUGUAUGUAAUUCAAGAGUAAUCAUAAUGAGACUGAACAAAGCGCAUGUCACUCAAAGCACCGGUGAGCUUCAAGUUCCACUGUCUGGGAGCUUGUUUAAGCCCAUAAAGUGAUUUAUGAAGCCUACAAACUUUCUGUUGCUGCUUUAACUCCCUCUGGCUGGCAAAGCUAUCUAGAUGUGCAUAUACACUUUUUCAAGGAGGUCACCUUGAAGAAAAGCAUUGUGUACAUCUAUCUGAAAAAUGUACCAACCAGAUGUUACAGCCAAAUCCACUGCAGACCUCAUAGUAACCAUCUUAGCAACAGGUGAAAAGGUCUCCUUGUAAUCCAAACCUUCUAGUUGGCUAUAUCCUUUGGUAACUAAUCUACCUUAUACCUCUCCACCUCACCAGUAGGUUUAUAAUUCACCUUGAACACCCACUUAUACACAAUAAGAACUUUACCAUGAGGAAGGUCAACAAUAGUCCAAGUCUGAUUAGCUUCUAAGGCUGAGACCUCAGCCUUCAUGGCCUCAAUCCAUUUGGGAUCUGGCUUGGCCUCAGCAUAGAAUCUUGGCUUAACAAAGGCUGAACAAACUGCAAGAACGGCCGUGUAUGCAGCUGACAAAUAAUCAUAGGUAAGGUACUAAGAGAUAGGAUGAGGGAAGGAAGAACCCUUGGUCAGCACUACAUAAUCCUCCAUCCAGAUAGGAGGCUUAGCCAGUCUAGAAUUCUCAAAACAGGUGUAGCAGCAAAAGGAAGAAGAGGUGUAGAGUGAAGAAAUGGACUAGAUUGCUUAGUUAGUAGAGGUAUAAGAGUACUGGAUGAGGCAGAAGACUAACUAAGAGAAAGAUAUGGUAGAUCAAAAGAGCUAAUAUGAUGUAAAGAAUGAUCUUAAAUAUCUCUAAAUUUUGAAAUAGGGAACAAAGGAGAAGAAGUUGUGUGCAUAUUUUUGAAAGGAAAGAUAUCCUCUCUGAACAUAUUGUCUCUACUAACAAAGAAGAGAUGAGAAUGCAAAUCAUAUAGGACAUAGCCUUCUGAACAGAUGAGUAGCCUAAAUGAACAAUAUGAACAGCUCUAGGAUAGAGUUUAUCUAUUUUCCUCAUGUUAGUUGUAUAACAUAAACUGCCAAAAACCUCAAGUGUUGUAAAGAUGGAGCUUUUGUGAAAUUACCUCUCAAAAGGAGAUGCCCCCUUCAGUACAACAGUAGGCAAUCUCUUGUGAAUACAAACAAUAGUGGUGACACAUUCUCCCCAGAAUUAGAGUGGAACAAAUGCCUGAAAUCUCAAGGCCCUAGCCAUGUCAAUAAUGGACCUAUGUCUUCUUUUAACGUUGUUAUUCUGUUAAAUGGUAUAUACACAGGAACUUUGAUGAACUAUGUCAUGCUUCUGUAACUGACUUGUGACCUAUCUGUUAAAAAAUUUAGUUCCAUUGUCUGACCUUACAUACUUAAUAACAUUGUUGAACUGAUUUUUGACCAGUAAUAAGAAGUUUCUCAGGAUCGCAAUAGAUUAUGCCUCAUCAUGAAUUGAGAAUAGCCAAGUAAACCUUGAAUAGUCAUCCACUAAGGUCAUGAAAUAUCUCCUACCAUUAUGAGUAUGAACUCUGUAUGUCCCCCAAACAUCAACAUGUAUAAGAUCAAAUGAUUGAAUAGAACAAGCAUUAUCGAGAGAAAAAGGAAUUCUGGUUUGGAUAGCAACAGGACACACAAUACAAAAGUGUUCUUUCAGCUGAGCAUUAUUAAAACUUCCUAUCUUCUUCAGAACUCUUAAAGGUGCAUGACCUAGUCUCUUGUACCACAAAAAAGUACCAUCUGGAUUCUCGGGAGAAUUCUUAUUUCCUGCAAUAUCAGUGUUUCCAAUUUGUUCACUAACAAUGAUAUUUACAAAGGGAAUAGAAUGAACAAGCCUAAGAUCUAACAACUGCUUGGGAUCUUCUUGUUCCUUGGGCUUCAUAAUGUAGAGACCAUGCUCCUCUUUACCAAUCCCCAUCAGCUUCCUAGUGAAAAGCUCCUGAAACAUACAUAAAUCAGGAAAGAAAGCAACAAAAAUCCUAACUCUUUUGUAACCUUUGACACUGACAUCAAAUUGAACUUGAAAUAUAGUAUAUAUAGUACAUAGUGUACUGACUUAUCCUUGAACAAUGAGAGAUCACCAAUAUUGCUAAUAGCAGCGUGUUAACCAUUAGGUAGUUGGAAUGUAUUUUAUCACUUUCUGAUAGUUUUCUAGUAUUGCUCAACAUAUUUAGAUUAUGAGCCAUAUGAUUAGUAGUACAUGCUUUUAUGAUCAAAUUAUUGCUCAAUAGGUGAGACAUAAAAGAUGUUAUCGUACCUAUUUUAUUCAUGGUUGCAGAAUUAGCCAUUUUAACCUUCUUUCCCUCGUUCAAUAUCUGCAGGAUCUGAUUGUAUUUGUCCUGAGUGAAAGGUGUUGAAGUUUACUAGUUGUUGAAGAAGCACCAACUGUUGAAGCAUGAGAAGGAAGCACACUAGUAGUACCUUCUUGUGGACUGGAUGAAUCAGAAGUUAUAUUGUCAUUGUGUGCAUAUGAACCUUUGGAAUCAAGAGGACCUCAUAUUCCUUUCUUUCCCUUAAAGUCAAUGGGGGUAUCCAUGAAGCUUAUGGUAGUUGUCUCUAGUGUGACCUUUGAAAUGAUAGUAGUCACAUUGAAGAGAUGACUUUAAAAGUUGUUUCUAGGCUUAAAAUAAUGAUUAUAACCACCAGAAGAAGUUUUGUUACUUGGCAAGGUUGUAGGCUUACCAACACCAACAAUAGC